rnacentral:rRNA from 1 species
GUGCUGCAUGGCUGUCGUCAGCUCGUGUUGUGAAAUGUUGGGUUAAGUCCCGCAACGAGCGCAACCCUUAUCCUUUGUUGCCAGCGGUUAGGCCGGGAACUCAAAGGAGACUGCCAGUGAUAAACUGGAGGAAGGUGGGGAUGACGUCAAGUCAUCAUGGCCCUUACGAGUAGGGCUACACACGUGCUACAAUGGCAUAUACAAAGAGAAGCGACCUCGCGAGAGCAAGCGGACCUCAUAAAGUAUGUCGUAGUCCGGAUUGGAGUCUGCAACUCGACUCCAUGAAGUCGGAAUCGCUAGUAAUCGUAGAUCAGAAUGCUACGGUGAAUACGUUCCCGGGCCUUGUACACACCGCCCGUCACACCAUGGGAGUGGGUUGCAAAAGAAGUAGGUAGCUUAACCUUCGGGAGGGCGCUUACCACUUUGUGAUUCAUGACUGGGGUGAAGUCGUAACAGGGAACC